CAGCCGCCGCGGUAAUACCAGCUCCCCGAGUGGUUAGGAUGUUUAUUGGGCCUAAAGCAUCCGUAACCGGUCUUGUAGGUCUCCUGUUAAAUCCACCAGCUCAACUGUUGGGCCGCAGAAGAUACCGCAAGACUAGGAGGCGGGAGAGGUGGACGGUACUUUAUGGGUAGGGGUAAAAUCUUUUGAUCCAUAGAAGACCACCAGUGGCGAAGGCGGUCCACCAGAACGCGCUCGACGGUGAGGGAUGAAAGCUGGGGGAGCGAACCGGAUUAGAUACCCGGGUAGUCCCAGCUGUAAACGAUGCGAGCUAGGUGAUGGGGUGGCUGCGAGCCAUCCCAGUGCCCCAGGGAAGCCGUUAAGCUCGCCGCCUGGGAAGUACGACCGCAAGGUUGAAACUUAAAGGAAUUGGCGGGGGAGCACCACAAGGGGUGAAGCCUGCGGUUCAAUUGGAGUCAACGCCGGGAACCUUACCGGGGGAGACAGCAGAAUGAAAGUCAAGCUGAAGACUUUACUAGACAAGCUGAGAGGAGGUGCAUGGCCGUCGCCAGCUCGUGCCGUGAGGCGUCCUGUUAAGUCAGGUAACGAGCGAGACCCCUGCUGUUAAUUGCUACCUUCAUUCGAAAGAAUAAGGGGGCUAGUUAACGGGACUGCUGCCGCUAAGGCGGAGGAAGGAAGGGGCCACGGCAGGUCAGUAUGCCCCGAAACCCUCGGGCCACACGCGGGCUGCAAUGGUAGGUACAAAGGGCUCCGACCUCGAAAGAGGAAGGCAAUCCUCAAACCCUACCCCAGUUGUGAUUGAGGGCUGCAACCCGCCCUCAUGAAUAUGGAAUCCCUAGUAAUCGCGUGUCACCACCGCGCGGUGAAUACGUCCCUGCCCCUUGCACAC
rnacentral:rRNA from 1 species